rnacentral:rRNA from 1 species
GAUGAACGCUGGCGGCGUGCUUAACACAUGCAAGUCGAACGGUGAACGAGGGAGCUUGCUCCCUCCGGAUCAGUGGCGAACGGGUGAGUAACACGUGAGCAAUCUGCCCUGGACUCUGGGAUAAGCGUUGGAAACGACGUCUAAUACCGGAUACGAGGCGUGGGGGCAUCCCCAACGCCUGGAAAGAACUUCGGUCCAGGAUGAGCUCGCGGCCUAUCAGCUUGCUGGUGAGGUAACGGCUCACCAAGGCGACGACGGGUAGCCGGCCUGAGAGGGUGACCGGCCACACUGGGACUGAGACACGGCCCAGACUCCUACGGGAGGCAGCAGUGGGGAAUAUUGCACAAUGGGCGCAAGCCUGAUGCAGCAACGCCGCGUGAGGGACGACGGCCUUCGGGUUGUAAACCUCUUUUAGUAGGGAAGAUAAUGACGGUACCCACAGAAGAAGCCCCGGCUAACUCCGUGCCAGCCGCCGCUGUAAUAC